rnacentral:rRNA from 1 species
UACGGGGGGGGCAAGCGUUGUUCGGAAUUACUGGGCGUAAAGCGUGUGCAGGCGGUUUGUUAAGACAGGGGUGAAAUCCCCGGGCUUAACCUGGGAAUUGCGCUUGUUACUGGCAGACUAGAGUGCGUCAGAGGGAGGUGGAAUUCCACGUGUAGCAGUGAAAUGCGUAGAGAUGUGGAGGAACACCGAUGGCGAAGGCAGCCUCCUGGGAUGACACUGACGCUCAUACACGAAAGCGUGGGGAGCAAACAGG